rnacentral:rRNA from 1 species
ACUACACCGGAUCCCAUCAGAACUCCGCAGUUAAGCGCCCUUGGGCCGGAUCAGUACUGGGAUGGGUGACCU